AUUCCUUACUUCCUGUAGACCCAGUAAUGAUUUGCAAAGGUGUGAACCACAGGUGGUAUCCAAUACCAAAGAAUCUAAAAAUGAAGUACUUAAUGAUAAAUUAAUUUGUAUCAUAUACAAACCUUUAGCAACACUUGCCGAUUUCAUGGUUGUAAGGUACUCCUUGCAAUUUUUCUUCCAGUGGCCCUCCUUGUCAUAGUGAUAACAAGUAUUUUCGGUGG
rnacentral:lncRNA from 1 species